CACCUGACCCCAUGCCGAACUCAGAAGUGAAUCGCCGUAGCGCCGAUGGUAGUUGGGGGUCUCCUCAUGCGAGAGUAUGUAACUGCCAGGC
rnacentral:rRNA from 1 species